UAGCUAGUUGGUGGGGUAAGGGCCUACCAAGGCGACGAUCGGUAGCUGGUCUGAGAGGAUGACCAGCCACACUGGAACUGAGACACGGUCCAGACUCCUACGGGAGGCAGCAGUGGGGAAUAUUGGACAAUGGGGGCAACCCUGAUCCAGCAAUGCCGCGUGUGUGAAGAAGGCCUGAGGGUUGUAAAGCACUUUCAGUGGGGAGGAGGGUUGAUAGGUUAAGAGCUAAUUAACUGGACGUUACCCACAGAAGAAGCACCGGCUAACUCCGUGCCAGCAGCCGCGGUAAUACGGAGGGUGCGAGCGUUAAUCGGAAUUACUGGGCGUAAAGGGUGCGUAGGUGGUUGAUUAAGUUAUCUGUGAAAUUCCUGGGCUUAACCUGGGACGGUCAGAUAAUACUGGUUGACUCGGGUAUGGGAGAGGGUAGUGGAAUUUCCGGUGUAGCGGUGAAAUGCGUAGAGAUCGGAAGGAACACCAGUGGCGAAGGCGGCUACCUGGCCUAAUACUGACACUGAGGCACGAAAGCGUGGGGAGCAAACAGGAUUAGAUACCCUGGUAGUCCACGCUGUAAACGAUGUCAACUAGCUGUUGGUUAUAUGAAAAUAAUUAGUGGCGC
rnacentral:rRNA from 1 species